ensembl:lncRNA
UGUCACUGGGUGACUAAUCCGGGCGGAACUGUAGUGUGGGAAAUAUUUCCGCCCGGACCAAUUUAAGUGAAACAUAAGUUCUGUUCCGGUUGGCCCAAGGUGGGGAAAUUAUCCAAAAUACAUGUCAGGUGUGGGAAGAGGACGUGUUGGAUUGGAGGAUCGGGAAGGAUGCAGUGAUAUAAAAGGGGCUGGUUUAUGAACAGGAGGAGGUUUUUGUUCUGCUGUUGUUUCACGGGAUACGGAAGUGGCUGGUGUGGCGUGGAUGUUGCGAUUUACGGGCUGCAACGGAGAAUCCAAGGAAAAUGGAUAUUGGAAGUGCGGACAAGGUGGGGAAAUUAUCCAAAAUACAUGUCAGGUGUGGGAAGAGGACGUGUUGGAUACCGAUUGGAGGAUCGGGAAGGAUGCAGUGAUAUAAAAGGGGCUGGUUUAUGAACAGGAGGAGGUUUUUGUUCUGCUGUUGUUUCACGGGAUACGGAAGUGGCUGGUGUGGCGUGGAUGUUGCGAUUUACGGGCUGCAACGGAGAAUCCAAGGAAAAUGGAUAUUGGAAGUGCGGAGGAAGUUAAGUGAUCGACCUUUUGUAUAUUGUGUUUACCUCUUAUUGUGGAUUGAGUUGAAGGAGCGAUCCUACGUUUGGAAGGCCCCUGAGUGAAGGAGAUCAUUGAAUUCGUGUUGGGAGAGGACAACACUGUGCACUGGUGGGUGAAGACUUUACGAACAUUUCUUGUACAUUGUGGAGAGUGAAUGACGGAUGUGGAGGGAGACUAACCGCCUUUAAGAAAGGAUUCCGACUGCAUAUCUCUCCGUAGCAGUGGAAACCCCCCCCCCCCCCCCCUCUUGUGUUGAUCUGAUAAUCCUCAGUGCUUGUGUGUUUACUCAGUGUUGAUAGUAGUGCCUUGCGUCGGAGAUCGCUGGGAAAGACGGAGAGACUCCGGUGUACGAUAUAUCUGCCUGCUGUGGUCUGCCCUCCUGCCUUUGUCCAUCUGACCUGCCCUGUCAGGACUCUGAGCCCGAAACGGGAAUACACCACCGAUCUUCUUUCACUGAGUGUGUGGAGUGUGGUGAGUGCUGCUAUAUUGAAGUGUACACACGAGAAGAAUUGUAGUGCCUUUGUGGUGUGUGGUGUUUGUCCGUGGUUGUGUCCCUGGUCGUAGGAAGAGGCCUGAUGGAGAGGAGUAGUGUAUUGGUGGCAACCACAGUCUUUACCUUAAGUAAGCUGGAGCUCGGACGUGUUGGAGGCGCCUCUGGAGGAGGUUGGAUGUCGUUGCCCACGCAGCAAUCCCUGUAAGCUUUUAAAUCAAAGCCUUAUCCUUUUUUUAUCCAUGUGACGUUGUGUCCUUGGCCCUGUCGGCAACCACCGGCCUUGUGCGUGUCGUCUGUGCUGUUUAUUUGACGAGGGAAGCGAAGGACAACAGCCGAUCCUCCCCCGUGUGCCCCCUUGUCAAGCUGGGCGGGAAGCCCAGUAUUGUUUGCAGUUUCAUCUGUAAGGCCCACCAGCCGUCAGUCAUCGACUAAACCCGUAUCUGCUUGGAAUACAGACCUCUGAAUAUCUUCAGUGGUGAGUAGCGCAUUAACAGCUCAGCCCUGUGAAUACUUACCUGUGUAUCGAACACUGUACUUACCUGAGAGCUAGAACCCCUGCACGCUAACAGCCCAGCCCUGUGAAUACCCACCUGUGUAUCGAACACUGUAUUUGCCUGAGAGCUAGAACCCCUGUACAUUAACAGCCCAGCCCUGUGAAUACUUACCUGUGUAUUGAACGCUGUACUUACCUGAGAGCUAGAACCUCUGCACAUUAACAGCCCAGCCCUGUGAACAUCCACCUGUGUAUUGAACACUGUACUUCCCUGAGAGCUAGAACCUCUGCACGCCGACAGCCCAGCCCUGUGAAUACUUACCUGUGUAUUGAACGCUGUACUUACCUAAGAGCAAGAACCUCUUCACAUUAACAAGCCCAGCCCUGUGAAUACCCACCUGUGUAUUGAACACUGUACUUACUUGAGAGCUAGAACCCCUGCACGCUAACAGCCCAGCCCUUUGAAUACUACCUGUGUAUGGAACACUGUACUUACUUGAGAGCUAGAACCCCUGCACGCUAACAGCUUAGCCCUGUGAAUACUCACCUGUGUAUUGAACUCUGUAUUUACCUGAGAGCUAGAACCCCUGCACGGUAACUGCCUAGCUCUUGCUUUAAACUUACCUGGAGUGGAGUCGGCGGGAAAUUAAGGGCUGAAGUGGAGUGUUGUCGAGGAAGGGCUGAAGAGGAGUGUUCUUGAGACUGGAAUCCGUAUUUGUGGAUAAAGAAUAGUUCGAGUCAUCAUAGUUUUAAAGUUUCCUUACCCCUUUCCCCAAACUUUUAAAUAAAUAAAAUUGUUAAAUUUUAAUCUUGGUUGUCCGUCCAUUCAUUGGGGUAGUUGUGGGACCUCCUCGAGGUGGAAGUUAGAGGGAGGAGCGAGACCCGUUAAAUUGGUGGUCCGCUCUGGCCUGUGACAGACGCUCUGGCGCACAGCUGACUGCUGGGCCUCUGCAAGUAUGCGUUUCCCCCAGUGAGCCUUCUUGCACAGACGUUGUGUAAGAUCAGGGAGGACGAGGAGCAGCUCCUCAUGGUUGCACCCUUUUUGGCCCAGCCGGACCUCGUUCCCUGAACCUGUACUCCUCACGACAGCCCCUCCCUGGCCAAUUCCUCUGAGGGAAGACCUUCUUUCUCAGAGAUGGGCAACCUCUGGC